GCAAGUCGCAGGGGAAUUUUGGCUUCGGCUGAAAGGAGACUGGCGCACGGGUGAGUAACGCGUAGGCAACCUGCCUUGGAGAGGGGGAUAACAUCGAGAAAUCGGUGCUAAUACCGCAUAAAGCAACUGGAUCGAUUGAUUCGGGUUGUUAAAGCAGUAAUGUGCUUCAAGAUGGGCCUGCGUGCCAUUAGUUAGUUGGUAAGGUAACGGCUUACCAAGGCGAUGAUGGCUAGCUGGUCUGAGAGGAUGAUC
rnacentral:rRNA from 1 species